rnacentral:rRNA from 1 species
AUUCCAGCUCCAGUAGCGUAUAUUAAUGUUGUUGCAGUUAAAAAGCUCGUAGUUGGAUUUCUGACUUGACGCGCCUGGCCCGCCUUGCAUUUCGCGGGUGAGUGCCGGAGCGCGUCGGUCAUCCUUCUAGAGAACGGCGCUACCCUUCACUGGGCCGGCGUCGCAAUCUAGAUCUUUUACUUUGAAAAAAUUAGAGUGUUCAAGGCAGGCUCGCGCUGUGAAUACAUUAGCAUGGAAUAAUAAUCUAGGACUUUGUUCCUAUUUUGUUGGUUUCUAGGAAUUAAGUAAUGAUUGAUAGGGAUAGUUGGGGGUGCUAGUAUUCAGCGGCCAGAGGUGAAAUUCUUGGAUUCGCUGAAGACUAACUUAUGCGAAAGCAUUCGCCAAGGAUGUUUUCAUCG